CUGCAGCCCGGCUUGAGUGGAGCUCAUUUUUUGCGGACUGCUUCCGUUUCUUUGGAAUUGGAAAUUUGUGGCAAAAAAUAGCGGGAACGGAAGACGGAAAAAGC
rnacentral:misc_RNA from 1 species